rnacentral:miRNA from 1 species
CCCUCUCUGGCUCCUCCCCAAA